UACGUAGGGUGUGAGCGUUAAUCGGAAUUACUGGGCGUAAAGCGUGCGCAGGCGGCGCGUUAAGACAGGUGUGAAAUCCCCGAGCUUAACUUGGGAAUUGCGCUUGUGACUGGCGUGCUGGAGUGUGGCAGAGGGAGGUGGAAUUCCACGUGUAGCAGUGAAAUGCGUAGAGAUGUGGAGGAACACCGAUGGCGAAGGCAGCCUCCUGGGCCAGCACCGACGCUCAUGCACGAAAGCGUGGGGAGCAAACAGG
rnacentral:rRNA from 1 species